rnacentral:lncRNA from 1 species
AUUACUGGUGAUAGCAAUAGUUACUUCACUUAAUUGCCCUUCUAGAUUCAUAAGUUCAUUUUGUUGCAAGGGACUAGUUGCUUGACCCUCAUUAACCAUGUUUGAAUCCUGAGCUACCUGCACUACAAGCACUGGUGGAUUAACAGAAACCUCUUGUUGAUUCUGAACUUCAUCAUUAAUUACAUUCUUCUUUACAAUCCAUUAUUUCUUUGUUUGUUUCCCCUGCUGUUUUACUCUAUCUUUCAGAUUCCUUGUAUCUACC